GAUGAACGCUAGCGGGAGGCCUAACACAUGCAAGCCGAGCGGUAUUUGUUCUUCUGUUCAGAGAUAGCGUCUCACGGUUGCGUAACACGUGUGCAACCUUCCUUUAUCUGUUUGAUAUCCUUUCGAAAGGAAGAUUAAUACCCCAUCAUAUAUUUAGUUGCAUCCCUUGUUUUUUAAAACUCCUUUGGUUAUUGAUGGGCACGCGCAAGAUUAGAUAGUUGGUGAGGUAACGGCUCACCAAGUCAAUGAUCUUUAGGGGGGCUGAGAGGGUGAUCCCCCACACUGGUACAGAGACACGGACCAGACUCGUACGGGAGGCAGGAGUGAGGAAGAAUGGACAAUGGGUUAGCGACUGAAACAGCAAGCCAGAGUGAAGGACGAAGGCACUAUGGGUUGUAAACUGCUUUUGUAAAGGGAUAAACAACAAACGAGAGAGUAGCUGAAGGUAAUAAACGAAUAAGCACCGGCUAACUACGUG
rnacentral:rRNA from 1 species